UUUUGCGUUGUGCGUUUUGUAACUCGAAUGUCCCAGUUUCUGUUCGUCAUUCCGCAGGGUCCGUGUGAGAGAUCAUCCUGCACAUAUUCUUCACGCUAUUCUUCAAGGUUGACUCUGUAACAUUGAAGCCUUCUACGAUGUUCAAGUACACCUUCUUCUGUCUGUUCGUGUGCCUAAUUGUUCUCGAAGUCCUGGUUGGCGCACAGGAAGGAGGACUCAAACAGAUCGGAGCAAAAAUUGAACAACAGACAAUAAGGGAAGAUAAAUUGGACGGUAGCUUACGGAAACUAGCGGAAAAUUCCUUAAACGCAAUGGGCCAGGUGCUGAACUCCCGUGAACGUUAAGGAAGGAAGGUCAUCGCACAAUGAACAACGAAAUGAAAGUGUGUAUUAACGAAAGACGUUCGACAACGCCUUCAACACCAUGGAGAAUUGUACUUCGUUUACCGUGGAAGCGUUGUAAUCGCCGAGGCAAUCCGCCUCAAUCGUCCAGUUAAAAUAAAUACGACGUGAGUGCUGUCGCGA